AGUCACUGCGUCGCGGAACGGGUCGUAGCACACCGCACACAGCAGCUCCUCUUUGAAGGAGCGCGAAGGCCCCGGGGACACAGAGGGGCCCGGCUCCAUCGCCGGAGCAGCAGCCGUCACCACCACCGCGGUCGCCGCCUUCAUGCCUAGCCUGAGGGCGUUGUCCCUGAUGAAGAUCUGGGAGCUAAGGCGGCUCCAGCCAAUCACGGAUGGGCUUUGAGGAAGCGGACCCGCCCACUUCCGCCUUGCGCAGGGUCUCCCGGAGGAGGUGUGGUCCCGGGUCUCCGCUAGCUCCUAGGCGGAAGGAUCUGUUGUCCCACCGCAGUGUGGGAUUUCCGUUGUCAAAUAGGAAAUGAAGCUACGGGCCGCCAUCCUUAAGCAAUUCCCGACAUCUCAGACUCCUAAACCACAGACAAGAUGCUUUAUAUAGAAUAGAGGUUCCAGAGGCAGCAAAGCUCAAGAACCAAGAACCGGGCGCCAGCCUGUCCUGCUGCAUCAUGAUGAGACAGAGAGCAGACAGGCAAGUGUGCCAGCUCAGAUCUUACUUCCUCCUAGGAAAGCCACUGGUGUUGUUAUGGGAGCUCAUGCUGGAAUAGAAAGUUAACAAGGACAGGGCUUUGCCCUUAUCACCUCAUUUGAGGAACCUCCUCCUACAAGCCUCAUUUCAAAUAGCAACUGAACUUAGGGAUUGAGUUUCCAAGGCUUGAACUUUUGGGUACCUGCUGAAACCCUGGCGAGAAGGAAUACAUGCCUACCUGCCUUCUAGCCUCCCUUCCUCUUUCUCUUCUUUUCUGUUUAAAGCGGAGAUCAAGGGAUAAAAGCAAGGAUUGUUCUAUUACAUGAAAA